CAGUUAAUUGGAUUUCCAGGCUCUGCAGCCAGUCACUGCAAUUGAUCCUUGAAAAGAUGGAUUUAUUGCUUAGACAGGCAGAAUUCUGACAAUCUUCAGAGGUUGGAAAAUAGAAGAAAACAGCCCAUACACAGAGCACUGUGGGUCACCAUUGAGUCAGACCAGGAAGAUACGUUACAGCCAGCAGGUUCAUGCCAGAAGUUCAGCACCAGGAGUCUUCUUGCUAAAUGUGCAGCACCCGGACCCAGUGGAAUCUUUUGUAGGGUGUUGUCAGUCAUCCAUGCUUAGGAGGAAAUAAAGCUUACGAUGGAGACACCAAGACCUGAAGAAUGAGCAUGUGCGGGCCAGACAGUGGCCAGGAAAAGAGUGUUCCAAGAGAUGGAACAGCACGUGCAAAGACCCUAAGACAAGAAAGACUAAGGUACCCUCUUCAAACUGAAGAGUCAACCAUGACUGAAAUGUGGAGGACGAUGCAGAGACUGGAAUAAGAUAGGGCUGGAGACAGGGUUUUGGGGGGAGGGUUGGGAUCCUGCAGGACCUUGUGAGCUGUGUUGGUGACUUGGGCCUUUAUCCUAACCUAAACCUCUUUUAUGGCUGAUGCUUGGGAGUUUCCUCCUUAACCAGUGCGUUUCCAUUGUGACUGGUCUCCAGCUCCCGUCUGCUGCUGUGUAUGUGAGCUGCUUAUGUCCUGAGGGCUUACUUGCUUUGAGAACUUUUUGUUUUUUGUUAGCAUUGUUUUCCCGACGCAGAUGUAUGGGCAAAGAUGGCUUACUGUGUGGGUCCUGCUCUAUGCCAGGACCAGCGUUCCUGUCCUUCUGAGCGGUGAUAAAGGAUUCCCCAAGCUCCUCUCUGUCCCUGCGCCCAGCCUGGCCUAGGAGGAAAGGUCAAUGUAACAGAGACUGAGACUUAUUCCUAUAUCUGUUCUCACCUUCUAUGGUGAUAGAACAUACUGUCAAUUAGAUUGGAGGUAUUUCCCAGUCUCCUUUGCAGCUCAGUAAUUAAUAGGCUUUUGGCUAAGGUUGGGCCAAUGGAGUUCAAGGGGAAGUGAAUAUACAACUUCUGGACAUGCACCUAAAAGACCAGGGCAUGCCUUUCACUUUCCACUGGCUGCGGUGUAAAGGUGGUACCAUUUUGGACGAUGCGUACCAGGGAUGGCAGAAUGACCAGAAAGAGCAUCAUGACUGACGGGGACUGCUUACAUCUGGAAAGUAAGGCAAGAGAGAAAUCUUUUUAUCUUAUUCAAGUCACUAUUAUUUUAAUCUCCGCAACCGCAAUCUCUCAAAGUGUGGUUCCGGAAUCCCUGGGGGUGUGUGUGUAGGGGCGGGGAGACUCUUUCAUGAGGCUCAUAACAGUACUGACUCUUUAUUUGCCUUUUUUAUUCUCAUUUUCUCAUGAGUAGAUUCCUGAGUUUUCCAAAGGCUAACAUGAUGAGUGAUAUCACAACAGGUUGAAUGCAGAAGCCAAUACACGAAUACAGCUGUCUUCUGUUAAGCCAGAUAUUAAAGAGCUUCGAAAAUGUGAAAAACAAUGUCACCCUUCUCAAUCAAAUUUUUUUGAAAAUACAGUUUUUUAAAUAAAAAUUAUGUUUAUAUCUUUA